CAUUAAUUAAUAAAAUUGUGGUAUAACUCACCUCGCCUCUUCACCAUCAACGGUGCCGUCCGCCGUCCUCUCCACGCCACCGUCAGCGCCGCCUUCCGUCUUCGCCUCGCCACUGUCAUCUAGUGUUUCAAGGAAUACUACAUUCUUGUUGAGCCACUCCCAAAUUGGCUAGUUUGUCAGCUACUCUGUUUCCCUCCUGCAGUGUAUGUCCAAGAGAGCAAUUGCAUCUAUCCAGCAGGAACCUUGCAUCUUCAAUGAGAGCUUUGUAGGAUGAAUGUUGGUUUGGGCCAUGUUGUAUUUGAAGGGUGGCUUGCUCUGAAUCAUAUUCAAUUUCCACACCUUUAAUGCCUUUUCGAAAGAGAAUGAUGGAUGGAUUCGUGUACGAAGUUGAAUUAUACCGAACUAGUUGGCACUUGUUACAUUUUUUGAAGGAUUAUAUAUUUUUUGAUAGAUGUGUAUGGAAAAUAUUUGGGUAGACUAUUAGUAAUAUUUUUUCAUAGAUGCGCAUGGAUAAAAAUUUGAAACAUAAUAAGUACUUGUUAUAUUUUAAAUUUUUAUGCUAGAUGGAUGUGAAUUGGAUGAUUAUAUAGAUUAGUUGACAUUUUUAAUUGGACAAUUAUGUAGUUUGGAAUUCCUUGUUAAUAGAAACUUAUAAUAGUUGAUAACUUUAAUUAAA